UGGCUUAAUGGUUGGAGCAUUGGCCCUCGGACCCAAGGGUCGUGGGUUCAAUUCCCAU
rnacentral:tRNA from 1 species